CAGUCGCCGCGGUAAUACGAAGGGGGCUAGCGUUGCUCGGAAUGACUGGGCGUAAAGGGCGCGUAGGGGAUGGCACAGUCAGAUGUGAAAUUCCCGGGCUUAACCUGGGGGCUGCAUUUGAUACGUGUUGUCUAGAGUGAGGAAGAGGGUCGUGGAAUUCCCAGUGUAGAGGUGAAAUUCGUAGAUAUUGGGAAGAACACCGGUGGCGAAGGCGGCGACCUGGUCCUUUACUGACGCUGAGGCGCUAAAGCGUGGGGAGCAAACAGGAUUAGAUACCCCUGUAGUCCCUGUCUCUUAUACA
rnacentral:rRNA from 1 species